GAGGGMAAGYCUGGUGCCAGCAGCCGCGGUAAUUCCAGCUCCAGUAGCGUAUAUUAAAGUUGUUGCAGUUAAAAAGCUCGUAGUUGGAUUUGUGGUGUUUUUUUUUUUUAUUUGCUUUUUUUGGUUUCUUGUUUUUCUCUUUUUGAGAUGAAUUUAAGACUUGGAAGCGAGGACACCAUCCUUGACAGGUUUGAAAGUGAUAUUAUAUCACCGCAAACAUUGUCAUCCUUUACUUUGAAAAAAUUGGAGUGAUUCAAGCAGGCAAGAAUUAUAAUUUUAAUUUUAAUUUAACUUUGCUUCUGCACAUGUUAGCAUGGAAUAAUGCAAGAGGACUUGGGUUUUCUCUUUCAUUGGUUUCAGGAAUCCGAGUAAUGAUUGAUAGGGACAGUUGGGGGUGCUCGUACUCGACGGCCAGAGGUGAAAUUCUUGGAUUCGUUGAAGACGAACAACUGCGAAAGCAUUCACCAAGGAUGUCUUCUUUAAUCAAGAACGAAAGUUGGGGGAUCGAAGAUGAUCAGAUACCGUCGUAGUCCCAACCAUAAACGAUGCCGACCAGGGAUCAGCGAGCGUUGACUUGGCGUUCUCCACUUUUUUAUUUAUAAGAUUUUGUAGAUUUUGCCAACCUCAUUAAUUUGAAACGACCUCGUUGGCACCUUGCGAGAAAUCACCAGUCUUUGGGCUCCGGGGGGAGUAUGGUCGCAAGGCUGAAACUUAAAGGAAUUGACGGAAGGGCACAACCAGCAGUGGAGCCUGCGGCUUAAAUUGACUCAACACGGGGAAACUUACCAGGUCCAGACAUCAUAAGGAUUGACAGAUUGAAGHUCUUUCUUGAUUYKRUGG
rnacentral:rRNA from 1 species